rnacentral:rRNA from 1 species
CUGGGGUAUUUUGAGCAUGGGGGUAGCAUGAUCCAGCCAUGCCGCGUGUGUGAUGAAGGCCUUCGGAUUGUAAACCCCUUUUAUUUGGGACGAAGGGCGGUGUCCUCCUUGGUUUCUGUCUUGACCUUACCCAGCCAAUAACCCCCGGCUACAACUGUGCCAGCAGCCGCGGUAAUCA